rnacentral:tRNA from 1 species
AGGAGUGUAGCUUAAUGGUAGAGCACCGGUCUCCAAAACCGGGUGUUGCGGGUUCAAGUCCUGCCUCUCCUG